CUGAAAAGCCGACCUACAUGCAGAGAAAGGCGGCAGGGGCUGCUGGGAGAAGUCUGUUGGAGCUUGUUCAUGCUGAGAGAUUGGGGGUGUGAUUUGAGGUGCGGAAGACCUACUUAAAACCUGAGAGUCCCGAAUAGGAGAGGCGCUUUCAGACCAGUCCGAGUCUUCUGCAACGCACAGGAGCUAGUCGUACUGAAAAGAAUGAAGUUGGACUUGUCCAGGCGAGUUUCGGACAGUGCUGGGCUGCACUGCUCUGAUCUGGGUGUCUUCACCUCCUCUGGCUCCUAAGUCGGCUGCUGCACCAGCACCCAUCAAACUCUCCUGGAAGAGGAAGUGACAGCUCACCAGUAGCCUAGAAGGCCCCUGUGGGCAGAAGCUUGGACUUACUCCUCCUCAUGGAGAUGCGGCUGAGCCAUAUUUCCUUGGCACCACUCUGGAACCUUCGACAGCCACCAUCUCAGACACUAGCCAGACUUUAGGUCCAGUCCUUUCAUGUCUAAAAUGAGACAGUCCACAACGUUGAUUUUAUUUGUAGGGGAUGUCAGGAUUCCAGAAAAGCAGACUUGGAAAGCAGCAAAACGUUAACUCGCAGCUCACUGAGGCCCUUACACUUGGUCUGGGCACCUCUGUAUGUAAAAAGAAGUCCAAUAUCUUUAGCUGCUGGUUAUAGGUGGCCAUAUGUUUCAGCACAGAAAUGGGGCUCCCCUUGCUAGGCUAAUUUUCUAAUUUUUCCUCAGGCUUCAUUGAUUCAUAUUCUUCUUCUUCACCCUGACUGUCGGGACCAACAAUACCAAAUAACAGCAAAGUCUCUUGCUCCUGUCCUCAGAACCUCUCAGAGGCAUCCUCUGCCCUGCUGGAGCCAUUUUAUUUCAGGUUGAUCCUUAAUUAAAUUCAGCGAGAUGCAGGA
rnacentral:lncRNA from 1 species